CCUACGGGUGGCAGCAGUGGGGAAUAUUGCGCAAUGGGCGAAAGCCUGACGCAGCGACGCCGCGUGAGGGAUGAAGGUCUUCGGAUCGUAAACCUCUGUCAGCAGGGAAGAACGGUCACUGUGCUAAUCAGCAGUGAAUUGACGGUACCUGCAAAGGAAGCACCGGCUAACUCCGUGCCAGCAGCCGCGGUAAUACGGAGGGUGCGAGCGUUAAUCGGAAUUAUUGGGCGUAAAGCGCUCGUAGGCGGUAUGUCAAGUCAAGGGUGAAAUCCCCGCGCUCAACGUGGGAACUGCCUUUGAAACUGGGAGACUGGAGUGUGUGAGAGGAUAGUGGAAUGCCAGGUGUAGGAGUGAAAUCCAUAGAUAUCUGGAGGAACAUCAGUGGCGAAGGCGACUGUCUGGCACAUAACCGACGCUGAGGAGCGAAAGCGUGGGUAGCAAACAGGAUUAGAUACCCGGGUAGUC
rnacentral:rRNA from 1 species